rnacentral:rRNA from 1 species
UACGGGGUGGGCAAGCGUUGUUCGGAAUUACUGGGCGUAAAGGGCUCGUAGGCGGCCAACUAAGUCAGACGUGAAAUCCCUCGGCUUAACCGGGGAACUGCGUCUGAUACUGGAUGGCUUGAAUCCGGGAGAGGGAUGCGGAAUUCCAGGUGUAGCGGUGAAAUGCGUAGAUAUCUGGAGGAACACCGGUGGCGAAGGCGGCAUCCUGGACCGGCAUUGACGCUGAGGAGCGAAAGCCAGGGGAGCAAACGGG